UAGGGAAUCUUCCGCAAUGGACGCAAGUCUGACGUAGCAACGCCGCGUGAGUGAAGAAGGAUUUCGGUUCGUAAAACUCUGUUGUUAGAGAAGAACAGCGCAUAGAGUAACUGUUAUGCGUGUGACGGUAUCUAACCAGAAAGCCACGGCUAACUACGUGCCAGCAGCCGCGGUAAUACGUAGGUGGCAAGCGUUGUCCGGAUUUAUUGUGCGUAAAGCGAGCGCAGGCGGUCAAUUAAGUCUGAUGUGAAAGCCCCCGGCUCAACCGGGGAGGGUCAUUGGAAACUGGUUGACUUGAGUGCAGAAGAGGAGAGUGGAAUUCCAUGUGUAGCGGUGAAAUGCGUAGAUAUAUGGAGGAACACCAGUGGCGAAGGCGACUUUCUGGUCUGUAACUGACGCUGAUGUGCGAAAGCGUGGGAAUCAAACAGG
rnacentral:rRNA from 1 species